rnacentral:rRNA from 1 species
CGCUGAACUUAAGCAUAUCAUUAAGCGGAGGAAAAGAAACUAACAAGGAUUCCCCCAGUAACGGCGAGUGAAGCGGGAAGAGCUCAAGCUUAAAAUCUCCAUGUUUUACAUGGCGAAUUGUAGUCUAUUGAGGCUGUUGUCAGCAUAGCGAUCUGGGACAAGUCCCUUGGAAAAGGGCAGCAUUGAGGGUGAUACUCCCGUCUCUGCUCAGAUUGUCUGUGUGUACGAUACGCUUUCUUUGAGUCGAGUUGUUUGGGAAUACAGCUCAAAGUAGGUGGUAAACACCAUCUAAAGCUAAAUAUUGGUGCGAGACCGAUAGCGAACAAGUACCGUGAGGGAAAGAUGAAAAGAACUUUGAAAAGAGAGUUAAAGAGUACCUGAAACUGUUGAAAGGGAACCGUAUCGUUUCCAGUGUUGUAUCCUGUGCAUAUUUCAUUAGCGGAGCAAUUUGCUGGUGCCCUGUGCAUGGGUGUGACGUCAGAGUCAGUUUGUAUGCUGCGGGAGAUGGUCAGUGAGGAGGUGCGUCACUUCGGUGAAAGUUAUAUCUCGCUGUCUAGUAGCCGUGGUUGAGACUGAGGUGCCUACAACAUGCCUUGGGGUUCAGUGUUGUCUCGUUUUGGUAACUGCUUGGAUAGCUUGCUAUGUCUGUGGUAUAUCUAGGCGAUUGAUGAUGUUGAUAACCUCUGCUGUUCGGGACUCUGGCGAAAUGGAGCGAUACGACCCGUCUUGAAACACGGACCAAGGAGUCUAACAUGUGUGCAAGUAUUAGGGCGUGGAAACCCAAAUGCGUAAUGAAAGUAAAUGCUACUUAUGUAGCUUUGGUAGGAAAGGGCUGUAAUGGUCCUGGCACUAUCGACCGAUCAUGAGCCUACGGGCGAAAGAUUUGAGUAUGAGCAUAUAUGUUGGUACCCGAAAGAUGGUGAACUAUGCCUGAAUAGGGUGAAGCCAGGGGAAACUCUGGUGGAAGCUCGUAGCGAUUCUGACGUGCAAAUCGAUCGUCAAAUUUGGGUAUAGGGGCGAAAGACUAAUCGAACCAUCUAGUAGCUGGUUCCCUCCGAAAUUUCCCUCAGGAUAGCAGCAACUUUUUACGAUAGUUUUAUGAGGUAAAGCGAAUGAUUAGAGGCCUCGGGGAAGAAACUUCCUCGACCUAUUCUCAAACUUUAAAUGGGUAAGACCUGUGGGUUUCUUAAUUGAACCUGUGGACGUGAAUAUCCAAGUUGCUAGUGGGCCAUACCGGGUAAGCUGGUCUGGCG